UGGGGAAUUUUGGACAAUGGGGGAAACCCUGAUCCAGCCAUCCCGCGUGUGCGAUGAAGGCCUUCGGGUUGUAUAGCACUUUUUGCAGGAAAGAAACGUCAUGGGUUAAUACCCCGUGAAACUGACGGUACCUGUAGAAUAAGUACUGGCUAACUACGUGCCAGCAGCCGCGGUAAUACGUAGGGUGCAAGCGUUAAUCGGAAUUACUUGGCGUAAAGCGUGCGCAGGAGGUUCGGAAAGAAAGAUGUGAAAUACCACAGCUGAACUUUGGCACUGAAUAUAUAACUGACGGGAUAGAGUGUGUAAGAGGGAACUGGAAUUCCGCGUGUAGCAGUAAAAUGCGUAGAUAUGCGGAGGAACACCGAUGACGAAGGCAGCCUCCUGGGAUAAAACUGACGCUAAUGCACGAAAAUGUAGGGCGCAAACAGG
rnacentral:rRNA from 1 species